rnacentral:rRNA from 1 species
CGUACACUCCUGCGGGAGGCAGCAGUAGGGAAUCUUCCACAAUGGGUGCAAACCUGAUGGAGCAAUGCCGCGUGAGUGAAGAAGGUCUUCGGAUUGUAAAGCUCUGUUGUUAGAGAAGAACACGUGCUAGGUAACUACUAGCGCCUUGACGGUAUCUAACCAGAAAGUCACGGCUAACUACGUGCCAGCAGCCGCGGUAAUACGUAGGUGACAAGCGUUGUCCGGAUUUAUUGGGCGUAAAGGGAGCGCAGGCGGUCUGUUUAGUCUAAUGUGAAAGCCCACGGCUUAACCGUGGAACGGCAUUGGAAACUGACAGACUUGAAUGUAGAAGAUGAAAAUGGAAUUCCAAGUGUAGCGGUGGAAUGCGUAGAUAUUUGGAGGAACACCAGUGGCGAAGGCGAUUUUCUGGUCUAACAUUGACGCUGAGGCUCGAAAGCGUGGGGAGCGAACAGGAUUAGAAACCCUUGUAGUCCCAUGAU